CUCCCGCUCGGCCUCCCGCUCGGCCACCUGCGCGGUCCGCCCGACCCGAGGGGCGCCUGGCCGGGGCCGCCGGAACCGCGCGGCUCCUCCCGCCGGGCCCAGCACGCCUCCCCUCCGGGCCCUCCCACCUCGCCCGCUCCAAAGGCGCACAUUCCGGGGGAGGGCGGGCGCAACCAUCCAGCGUCUCCGGGAGCCUCGACGCCGGGCCGAACCAUCCUCACGGGGGCCGCGGAGAGGGGGCGGGGAGGACGGCGGCGCCGGGCGGCGCACCGGUGGGCCGGGCCGGGGGCCGCCGGGGGCCUGCGACUGAGGGAAUGUCAGAGCUGUCGGCGAAGGGCGCCCUCCCCACGGCGGACGCGGGCGGGGGCCCGGGCUGCGGCAGCUCACCCCGCGGCCGGACUUGGUCCCGCCCGCCGCCGGCCCGAGGGGGGCUGGGCGGGGUUUCUGGGAUUUGCAGUCCCGGUGGGAGGCCGGGCCUGGAGGCUCCCGGCGUCGGAACCCGGCCUCCCCGGCGCCGCAGCCCGAGUCCGAGCCCCGCGUGCGCGCCCCCCGCAGCCUCGGCCCGGGGCUCGCCUGGAAACCCGGCUGCAGCGUGCGCCGCUGAGGUCGCGGCGAACGCUUGGGCUUCGUCCCCAUCCCUACGGCGCGUUCCCCGGUGCAGUCCCCCUUCCAGCUGCAUGCACCAGCUCCAGCGCACGGUGCCUUUUUUGGAGGACGAGACGCUGGUCAACCGGCUCGGCACACGCUCUUUUAUGGAAAGACUUUAAUGACAUAUGUAACAAAUGUGAUAAAGGAGGAAACUCAGCUAGAAGGGGUGGAAGUGGAAGCGGGGUUUGGUCCNCCCCCCCCCCCCCCCCCGCACCUUGGCCCUGGUAUAUCGCCAUCGCCUGGCACAGGUGCACAGUGGUUAUCCGAGCCAUCCAUCAGCACUUUUUUUUUUUUUUCUAUUCUUUUCUAUCACUGGCUAGCCAAAGAUUACGGUAUAAAGGAUCCGUCUUUGUAGCUUAG
rnacentral:lncRNA from 1 species